CAUAGCGACUAUCGUGGCAUAUCAAUAAGCGGAGGAAAAGAAACUAACUAAGGAUUCCCUCAGUAACGGCGAGUGAAGCGGGAAGAGCUCAAAUUUGAAAUCUUCAAGGUUCUACCUUGACGAAUUGUAGUUUAAAGAAGUGUUUUCUGUUGGAGUUUUGGUAAAAGUUCUUUGGAAUAGGACAUCAUAGAGGGUGAGAAUCCCGUAUUUGACCAUUAUUUCCAGCUGUGUGAUACACUUUCAAAGAGUCGGAUUGUUUGGGAAUGCAGUCCAAAAUGGGUGGUAAAUUUCAUCUAAAGCUAAAUACUGGCGAGAGACCGAUAGCGAACAAGUACCGUGAGGGAAAGAUGAAAAGAACUUUGAAAAGAGAGUUAAACAGUACGUGAAAUUGUCAAAAGGGAAGCGUUUGACACCAGUGUUGUUUUCUCGAAAAUCAAUUAAAAAUGGUGGGAUUUUGUGUUGUAUUGACUUUAUCGGCUUUCUGCACUUUUUUCCUAUCUUUUUUAAUGCACUUUUCGUUUAACAAGUCAACAUCAAUUUCUUUUGCUGUAAAAGGGUCAUAGGAAGGUGGCUUUCUUUUCGGAGAAAGUGUUUAUAGCCUUUGACUUCUGCAGUCGGAGAGAUUGAGGUCUGCAGCGUAGAUCCUUCGGGGUUAGAUACAUUUGUGCUAAGCUAUAGCCUUUCAUAGACAACUUGUUGACUAUGAUCAGUCAUGUAGCCUACUCGCUUAUGCUAUUUUACCUACGCUUAGGAUGUUGAUAGUCACAGCGUGUAC
rnacentral:rRNA from 1 species